CCCUUACUCUGUACCCCCUAGUGCACCACGCUCCCUCCCAGCUUGCGACAUACCACAAGUGUUCCAGCAACACUUUGUCAAGCAUACAGUAACUCCCCUACUCAGCCAGUCCUAUUCCCAGAUAACUACCCUUUUCCAUGUGCCCUAACCCCUAAUAUGUACCCUUGUCCCACCCUAACCCUUAACCCUCUCUCUCUCUCCCCCACCAGUGCCCUGCGCUCCUUCCCAGCUGGCAACGUACCGCGAGUGUUCCAGUAAUGUGAUCAUCUUCUCCUGGGCUCCCACUAGUAACACCAAGUACUACGUAGCUACGUCGCUGGCCUCCAACGGACAGCUGGUGGAGUGUCGCACCAAGGGCACAGAGUGCUUUUUCACCAACACGGUCUGCGGACACACCUACCAGUUCACUGUUUACGCCGUCAGUAAUUGCAACAGCAAAACCAGUUCCUCGAAGCACGUCCGGACCUCCCCUUGUAUCCCCCAGAACAUAAAGACGUAUGCAGAGUGUCGGUCUGAUGUGUUGAUCACCACCUGGGACAAGACAGCAGGGGCUCUGUCCUACACAGUGGAGGCUCAGGGUAACAACGGAGACAGCUACAACUGCAGCUCCUUCACCAACAGCUGUGCUAUGCCUGGUGUGGCCUGUGGAGACAGUCUGAGUGUGUGGAUCACUGCCUCAGAUGAUGACUGUACCACAGAGAAGGAGCUGGGAGAGGCAGCUAAGACUGGUGAGUACUGGAGGAUGGGCGUAUUGUUAUGUUAUAGUGUAGGAAGAGGAUAGAAGAGACUGACAAGUCUGGUGGUGAUUUGGAUCUGCGGCUAGUUGAGCCCCCUAUAGGGAGGACUGGAGCUUCCAUAUCAUAGCUGAGAAAUAAUGGCAUCAUAUACAUUUACUUGUCGUUACUUCAAACCUCUCUCCUCCUCCCUUCCCCAGUCCCUUGUUCCCCUACCAACGUGUCAGCCUCUGUGGAAUGCAGCCCCAACUCUGCCCUUAUGAACUGGACGGUGAGCCAGGGCGCAGUGUUCUACAUCGCCAUGGCACAGCACACAGACGGCACGGUGCGAUCCUGCCACUCCAUGGGCUCUAACUGUCUCAUACAGGGCUUAAACUGCGGCAAAACCUACACCGCCAGCGUCAUAGCAACCGACAUGAAGUGCAACAGCUCCCAGGGCCAACUGGUCACUAUAGA
rnacentral:lncRNA from 1 species